GAUACUAUACGAUUUCUAUAGGCCUGGGGGACAAACCAGUGGGCAGUCUGCAGAUGCCUAAAGCAGAGAACUAACUACGUUUGGCUGUGGACUGAAAUGGCAAUAGAGGUGUUCACCAAGUCCAGUUUAUACAGUGCUAGGGAUUGAACCCAGUGCUUCCUGCAUGCUAGGCAAGCACUCUAUCAACUGAGCUGUAUACCCAGUCACAGGAAGAGCAUGCUACUCAGAAGAACAGCACAUGGAAAGGUCUUAAGGAAGUAGCUUGAUGGUUUGGAGGAGACAAAAGCAAAAGCACGGAAUCUUUGGCGCCAUGAAUUGAGGAAAAGACUGUUAUCACAGUUCACCUUGAAGAGACAGCAGAAGGAGAUAACAGUUUUUGCUAAUAAGAAGCAGUGCUGAACAGUGAUUACUGUUGUUCACAGACUCAUUACUGGCAGAAACUGAACUAGUCAAAAGCUCACAUCCCGUACAAGUAUCUGUUCCAGUGAGAAGAAGCAGCUGCCCAUCUCCCCUGCCCCCAGGACGAGAAGAGAGUGAUGUGAUUAACCUACUCCCGUGUUACUGACUGGCCUAACCCCACUCCAAUAUAACAGUGUGUUAAGGGCUCAGCACUGGUCCUUGUUGGCUGCCAGAUCUCCCCUGAUGAAGGGACUCCUCCAUCCUUGCUACAAUGGACACUUUAUUCAUGAGCCCCUUGGACAAACCCCAGAGUGGCUGGUGAAAGGGGCUGACUGACAUCCAUUGAAAAUCACUCUGUAUGGGGCUAUUAACUCUUCAGCAGCAGCCAUGGGCACAGUCCUUAAUUCCUAUCUCCUCCCCAUCCCCCAUUCAAUGUUCUUGGCUUCAAAAUUGGACUCUGGUUACCUUAAACAGAAAUAGAUUUUAUUGCAUGGUUUUGGGUAGCUCACAGUAUCAAUGUGGAAGCAGGUAAACAAAUCUAAGGAAAAGGCAGAAGCCAAGAAAAGCUCACAGCCAAGCCGAGAGCAGAGGAUGCAGCAGCGUGGUACCCUAUCUUUAGCAGUCCGCUUUGAACACUUGCAUUUCUUGCUGCUGGACUCCUAAGUCACCUCCACCCUCCGAGGAUAUGCUCUAGCUAUUGCCAUGUUUUUGGCUACUUCCCCAUGAGGCAGGAUCUCUGGAAGGAGCACAUGAUUGGCCAAAUCUAUGUUCCUUGUCAAGAGUUGGGGUGUGCUUAUUUUAAGCCUAGAGAGGGUAUUGGUCUUGCCUGGUAUCAGACUCACGGUCUAGGUAGUCAGCACCAGUAAAGAUAACCAAAACCCAGUGACUGUCCCUCAUGUGCUCUAAGCCUCAGUUUUCCCAUCUGCACA